rnacentral:tRNA from 1 species
UGUCCUGUGGUGUAAUGGUAGCACACCAGAUUCUGGUUCUGCUUGUCCGGGUUCGAGUCCUGGCAGGACAA